UACGUAGGGUGCGAGCGUUAAUCGGAAUUACUGGGCGUAAAGCGUGCGCAGGCGGUGAUGUAAGACCGAUGUGAAAUCCCCGGGCUUAACCUGGGAACUGCAUUGGUGACUGCAUCGCUCGAGUAUGGCAGGAGGGGGGUAGAAUUCCACGUGUAGCAGUGAAAUGCGUAGAGAUGUGGAGGAAUACCGGUGGCGAAGGCGGCAUCCUGGACCGGUAUUGACGCUGAGGCGCGGAAAGCCAGGGGAGGCAAACGGG
rnacentral:rRNA from 1 species